UACGGAGGAUGCAAGCGUUAUCCGGAAUGAUUGGGCGUAAAGCGUCCGCAGGUGGCAAUGUAAGUCUGCUGUCAAAGCGUCUGGCUCAACCAGAUAAAGGCAGUGGAAACUACAUAGCUAGAGUAAGGUAGGGGUAGAGGGAAUUCCUGGUGUAGUGGUGAAAUGCGUAGAGAUGCGGAGGAACACCAGUGGCGAAAGCGACUUUCUGGUCCUUAACUGACGCUGAGGCGCGAAAGCAUGGGGAGCGAACGGG
rnacentral:rRNA from 1 species